rnacentral:rRNA from 1 species
UACGGAGGAGGCAAGCGUUAUCCGGAAUUAUUGGGCGUAAAGAGUCCGUAGGUGGCGAUUCAAGUCUGCUGUCAAAGCGUGGAGCUCAACUCCAUUAAGGCAGUGGAAACUGAGUGGCUAGAGUCCGGUAGGGGUAGCGGGAAUUCCCAGUGUAGCGGUGAAAUGCGUAGAGAUUGGGAAGAACAUCGGUGGCGAAAGCGCGCUACUGGGCCGGAACUGACACUGAGGGACGAAAGCUAGGGGAGCGAAAGGG